CUUUCCUACGGGGCGCAGCAGUGGGGAAUAUUGCACAAUGGGGGAAACCCUGCUGCAGCGACGCCGCGUGAGCGAGGAAGUACCUCGGUAUGUAAAGCUCUGUCAGCAGGGAAGAAAAUGACAGUACCUGACCAAGAAGCCCCGGCUAACUACGUGCCAGCAGCCGCGGUAAUACGUAGGGGGCAAGCGUUAUCCGGAUUUACUGGGUGUAAAGGGAGCGUAGGCGGCAAGGCAAGCCAGAAGUGAAAGCCCGCGGCUCAACUGCGGGACUGCUUUUGGAACUAUCUAGCUAGAUUGCAGGAGAG
rnacentral:rRNA from 1 species